CCCGGCUCUCCUCUUGCGAGUUCCCAAAGAGCCACAACCGUCGAGCCAUAGCCGCCGAUCCUCUCCUCACGCGACGCCACCCUCCCUCCAGCUUGAGGAUCGAAUCGGAGUGGCGAAUGAAGGUUCAUCAGCGGCGGAACCCUAGCAAUUUGUCCUUGUCGCAACCGUUCACUCUAGCGCCGCCUUCCCUCCUUCGCCAAGUCCCUUCUCCCCAAGCCAUCGUCGGUCUUCUUCCCUCUCAAGCCACGGCCUCCUGCUCUCCUCCUCACGCGAGCGCCAUAACGUCGCCGCCCUUUUGCCCGAUCCAAUCUCAACACGGGCAUAAGUUGACCCUUGCCGAACACCACCAAAUCUCUCCUUUCUCCGUUGGACAGUGACAACCAGUCGGGUGCCUCACCUCUGUUGGCCUCUCUUCGACCAUAGGCCACCACAUCAUCAUAACCAAAAGCUAUUGUGUCAUCAGCGAUCUGAAGGAGAGCAACAAACCAUCAGUUGGGGCAUUCGGAUUUAGAGUGGCUAAUUAGGUGUUCUUGCUUAGAUGUAUGCAUCUAAUUUGUUGUUCAUACAUUGAGGAUUGAGCGGUUGCAGAAGUUGCAGUAUUUGAUCAUGGUUCAUACACUCAGGAAUUGGGUUCGGAUGAGCGUCUCGACAUGGGAGUACUUGACAUGAUCUACUGUUAGAGGCGGGUACUUCUUGCUUUAUUUCUUGUAACAGGUAGAUGA